rnacentral:lncRNA from 1 species
CCAGCUAGAUCUCUAGGUUCUCUUGCCUUUCCCCACGCAGCUAGGCAAUUGUCCUCACACCUUUCCCUUCUCUUAAAUGACUAGAAGUUCAUUCUCUGGAGAAGUUCCAGGCUGGGGAACACCAGGUCUAAGAGAAGAUAGGGCCAAGGUGCUGCAUGAAAAACAAGGAGAUUAAGGGAAAUUCUGCUUGAUCUGUCUCUUGCCUGUCCUGCUGUUCCAUUUUGCAGUAUCUUAUGAGAUUCCUAAGAGUAUCCUGGACACAUUGAAGAGAAGGGUGAGCCUUACUCAUUUCCAGUGAGAGAAAUGAGUGAAAUGGGUCUGAUUUACAUCACAGUUCAGCCUUCUGUGGUGAAGUUGGUUUUCCUACUGUGACCUGUGCACUCCGGUCUACCAGCCUGACACUACACGCCAUCUGCUGGUUCCAAACUAUAUAGCUCCAGAGUAACUGCUGACGCUGUUGGGGAACAGAGGACCUGGCCUCCUGAAGAAGCACCAACAGGCCCUCUGCUUCAAGUUGUAGGUGUGAACAAAUCCAGACCACUAAGAGGCCCUCCAGUCCUCCUUGAAUUUGGGUAUGGAUCCUAAGAUUUGCUCCAGUACCUCUGCAGCCAGCACCCAGAGCAGCUAAUGAAAGGAUUCAAGCCGGACGUUCAGGGAUAAGGAGAGACGGCUACAAUGAUACUUCAAAUUGGAAUGAAAAGCCUGGAUUGAAGCCCUCUGCCUUCUGAAUUUUCUCUGAGGUUUGGUGCAGAGCUGAGUUUGGUAACCUCUGGAACAGAUGAUAAGCUUUUGGCAUUAAGUGAACCUGCACUUCGUCAGGAGUUAUCCAAAGGCUCAAUGGACUGGAUUCCAAGAUGAUGCCCUCACCUGGCUACGACUGACACAGGAUGUUGUUUAGGAGCUCAGCUGGGGACUGUCAGCUGGGGUAGCUAUCUGUGAUGUCUUCUUGUGUCUAAGCUUUUCAUAGUUUAGUGGCUGGGUCCCUAUGCAAAGUAUCACAAGAGCAAGUGGGAAGUAUCUUUGAAGAUGCAGGAAGUGGAAGCUGCCAGUCCUUUUAAAGACUAGGAACCGUAAUUGAUUUGUGUCACUUCUGCUAUAUUCUGUUGGCAAAGGCAAUCACAGGUCAGCCCAAAUUUUAGCAGAUGGAGGAUAUAGGCUUCACUUGUAUAAGGUAUGAUGUGGUAAUUCAAUAUGUAUGCUGCAUGUAGUGAUCAAAUCAGGGCAAUUAACAUUUCUUUCUCCACAAACAUUUAUUACUUUGCUGUGUUGAGAACCCUUGCACUUCACUCUUCUAUUCUGUAUAAAAUAUAUGGUGAAUUAUUGUGCACUAUACAGAUUUCACUUCUUAGUGGAGGAAUAAGUACAGCAUGGAAGGAGGGAAGGAAAUGAUGGCAGCCUUCUUGGAGAAAGUUACCACAUGAUAUGUCCCCAGACAAAUGUGUAGGUUCAGUGAAGCUCCCACAGGAUGGACUCAGGUUGACUGCCAAUCAAAGAGUUAUGGAGAAAAUAAACCCAUUUGCAAAAAAUAAAAUCAAAUCUUCACUCUCCCCGCUCUCUACCCCAGUAGUGUUCCGCACUCACCAAACACACACCUGGAGGCAGAAUGAGAUGGCUCAGAACUCUAACAAAGCAGCUGGUGGAACUGAGCUGUGGGGUAAGGGCUUAUGUCACUAUUUUAUCCUUUGACUAUUCCCUCAUGCUGGUGUGGCCUAGAAAAUUACCUGUUACAUACAAGUAAAAAUUCAGACUCAGAGGACUAAGAUUUACCAUCAUCAAGACAAUUCAAAAGAGUAUGCUGUAGGUUUGAAGACAAUUUCCAGAGAGACACACAUUCUCAGAAUGUUUCCAGUAAUGACAAAAUCAUUGGAAUAAGCGGCUGACCUCCUCCCUGGGGGACUAUGCUCAUUAAGAUGUAUGUGUUCAGGACUGUUAAAAUUCCAGCUCAUUAUCUAAUAGUUGUACCUUGUGCACUUGGAUACCUCUGAAAAUGCUUCCAGCCCUUCCAUUUCAGUCAUAACAACCAACUGACAGUCUCCUAUACUUUUGAGAGGCUUUAAGGGAAGGUUCUUAUAGCAAAGUUAAAAGUGAAAAGGAAAAACUCAAAAGGAAGUACCACUAUUGAUAACCCUGUCUAUUCAUUUCCCUUGAAGUAAUUUAAGACCAUGAGGAAAGAAUUCUUCCUAGCUUUAGGGUCAGUGCUCAAGUCUUCAUUCAUUCUUUUCUCUCUUUAAUUUGCACAUUCCAGCAGGGAAACUGUAUUCCAAUCUCAAGAACAAUUCCAGAGCCCAAGCCAACUGUGCUGUGGAAGCAAUGUGAAUCAAUAUUCAUUGAUCACUAGCAUUUGUUCUUUGGCCUCUAAUUCAAAUGUCCUUUCCACUAGAAGCCUCCUCUAAACUUUCUUUUCCUGUGGUAGAAUCUAAUCAUUCCCACCACCAUAUUCCCUUUCGGUAAAGCAUUUGACUCUGCAUUUAAUUCUUUUUUCUCCCUUUUUAAUUUAUAACUAAAUUAUGAGCAGCUUGAGAUCAAUUAUCAGUUACAUUCAUGCUUAGGUCUCCAGUACCAAGCACAAAGUCUGGCAUCUGAGGGAGUACUCAAUCAAUGUUUGUUCAAUGAAUAAAUGUGGUAAGAGGUCUUCCAGAAGUAUGCCAAUAGGGUGCACUGGAGAGCCAACGAGUUCAGUUUAAUUAUAUCUAAAAUAAGAGAUAUGUCUCUAAGGAAGUAGCUUCACAAAUAUGAGAGGAUAAAAUACACAUGCAAAUAAAAUCUGGACAUUAAAGAAUAUGGUACAGAGAAGGCACUCUAUUUUAUGAGAUUUGAGUGAGUUACAAAACCAGCUCAGGAUCUAAGGAGCAGAGGGAUCUUUUGUUUAUCCACUCAAGUCUAAAAAUCUAAUGUACAUGUGACAAAAUUAAUAUUGUAUCAUUGUAUUAGUGAUUUUUAUUAUAAAAAUAAAUUGUAGCUACUCUCACAAAAAGUGAACAUAUGAGAUGUCAGAUAUGUUGGUCUACUUUACUAUGGUAGACAUUUUACUAUCUAUAUAUAUUUCCUAACAUCAUAUUGUAAACUUCAAAUACACACAGUGAAAUUUAUUUAAAAACUCAUUUGCUGAUCACCUUCUACAAAUUAUAUACUCCUAAUUCUCAUUUAAGAACUUUCAUGUUUCCUGAAAACACUGCCACUAAACUUAAAAACUUAAAUGUCAAAAUA